GGACGGGUGGCGGAACUGGUAGACGCGUACGGCUUAGGACCGUAUGCCGUAAGGCGUAAGGGUUCGAGUCCCUUCCCGUCCA
rfam:Elusimicrobia bacterium GWA2_56_46 gwa2_scaffold_1066, whole genome shotgun sequence.